rnacentral:rRNA from 1 species
GACGAACGCUGGCGGCGUGCCUAAUACAUGCAAGUAGAACGCACAGUUUAUACCGUAGCUUGCUACACCAUAAACUGUGAGUUGCGAACGGGUGAGUAACGCGUAGGUAACCUGCCCGGUAGCGGGGGAUAACUAUUGGAAACGAUAGCUAAUACCGCAUAAUAUUAAUUAUUGCAUGAUAAUUGAUUGAAAGAUGCAAUUGCAUCACUACCAGAUGGGCCUGCGUUGUAUUAGCUAGUAGGUGAGGUAACGGCUCACCUAGGCGACGAUACAUAGCCGAACUGCGAGGAUGAUCGGCCACACUGGGACUGAGACACGGCCCAGAGUCCUACGGGAGGCAGCAGUAGGGAAUCUUCGGCAAUGGACGAAAGUCUGACCGAGCAACGCCGCAGUAGUGAGCAAGGUUUUCGGAUCGUAAAGCUCUGUUGUAAGAGAAGAACGGGUGUGAGAGUGGAAAGUUCACACUGUGACGGUAUCUUACCAGAAAGGGACGGCUAACUACGUG